rnacentral:rRNA from 1 species
AACGUAGGAGGCAAGCGUUAUCCGGAGUUACUGGGCGUAAAGCGCAUGUAGGUGGUGGUACAAGUUCGGUGUGAAAGCGCCCGGCUCAACUGGGCGAGGACAUUGAAGACUGUGCGACUAGAGGGUGGUAGAGGGGCGUAGAAUUCCGGGUGUAGCGGUGAAAUGUGUAGAGAUCCGGAGGAAUACCAGUGGUGAAGACGGCGCCCUGGGCCAAGCCUGACACUGAGAUGCGAAAGCGUGGGGAGCGAACGGG